GCCUGGGUGGCUCAGUUGGCUGAGCGUCUGACUUCGGCUCAGGUCAUGAUCUCGCAGUUCGUGAGUUCGAGCCCCGCGUUGGGCU
rnacentral:tRNA from 1 species